UACGUAGGGGGCUAGCGUUGUCCGGAAUCAUUGGGCGUAAAGCGCGUGUAGGCGGUCCGGUAAGUCCGCUGUGAAAGUCGGGGGCUCAACCCUCGAAUGCCGGUGGAUACUGUCGGGCUCGAGUCCGGAAGAGGAGUGUGGAAUUCCUGGUGUAGCGGUGAAAUGCGCAGAUAUCAGGAGGAACACCAAUGGCGAAGGCAGCACUCUGGGACGUGACUGACGCUGAGACGCGAAAGCGUGGGGAGCAAACAGG
rnacentral:rRNA from 1 species